AUUGAACGCUGGCGGCAUGCCUUACACAUGCAAGUCGAACGGCAGCACGGGUGCUUGCACCUGGUGGCGAGUGGCGAACGGGUGAGUAAUACAUCGGAACAUGUCCUGUAGUGGGGGAUAGCCCGGCGAAAGCCGGAUUAAUACCGCAUACGAUCUACGGAUGAAAGCGGGGGACCUUCGGGCCUCGCGCUAUAGGGUUGGCCGAUGGCUGAUUAGCUAGUUGGUGGGGUAAAGGCCUACUAAGGCGACGAUCAGUAGCUGGUCUGAGAGGACGACCAGCCACACUGGGACUGAGACACGGCCCAGACUCCUACGGGAGGCAGCAGUGGGGAAUUUUGGACAAUGGGCGAAAGCCUGAUCCAGCAAUGCCGCGUGUGUGAAGAAGGCCUACGGGUUGUAAAGCACUUUUGUCCGGAAAGAAAUCCUUGGCCCUAAUACGGUCGGGGGAUGACGGUACCGGAAGAAUAAGCACCGGCUAACUACGUG
rnacentral:rRNA from 1 species